rnacentral:lncRNA from 1 species
UAAAAUAUUCUAUUUUCUUAUAAAACAAUAUUUAUAGAGUUAUACGUGAAUAAUUUUUAUAGCAUAAAAGCUAAAUAAAUUUAUACAUACUUAAAUACAGUAAGUCAAAAUAUUUAAUUUAAUUUACAAAAACAAGAGUGCCUCCGAAUAAACAAAAGUAAAGAGGACUAUGAACCUACGGUUUGGAAAAUGCAGAUCCCACUGUAGUCCUCGAUGAGAUCAGCUAUCUACAGUCUAUACUGAACCUGAAAUGGGUGAAAAUGAGGGUGGUGAGAUUAUAAAAUCCUAAUGAGUAAACAGACAUCAUCAUAAACAUCUAGAGUUAAGUACAUGGAGACAAUAAAGUAAAUCAUCAUAAACUGGGUUAUACAAUUAGAACACAUCUCGUUCAAAAUACGUAAAAAGGCUUAUGACUCUCAUAAAAAUCUAGGCUUGUGCCAUAAAUCCAUUCUCGGGGACACCUUGGCCGAGGCAUCCUACCAAGACUGCUAAAGCUAUUAAAAUUCACAUUUCACAUAAAUCAUGUUUUUGUUUUGAAAACAUAGUCGUUUCUUGGCGUUGGCUGAGUUUCCCUUCACGUGGUGGUUUGGCGUGAAGUGAACCCUAAGCUUUACCCCAGGAUAUACCCUACGCGCCUCUCCGUUCAAGGUAAGAAUAUAAUGGGAUUUACCGUGCCCUUCUAAAAGGCUGGUCUACAGAAACCCCCUACUGCAGUGAUUAAUUAAUAUAUAAUCCACCAUAUAAUAAAACUCAAUAACAUGAUAUGGCAAUUUUGUAAUUCGUAGUUUUUCAAGGUAACCAAACAAUUCGCAUUUCAAUACAAUUGCCAACUAGCCAAUCAUGCUCGAUUUAUCAUAAGCCAGUUAAUUUAAACAAUCAAAUUGCCACAAUUAACAGUCUCCGUGUACUCUAUUUUUCAAAAUCACUAUUAAUUUCAAAACAAUUUAUAAUUUAAUUUCAUUGAAACUCAUUUAUUCAUAAAACAUGAAAAUUUAUCUUUUUAAAUUCCUUUUUCCAUAGAAUUCAUGAAAGCAUCUAAAAACCACCCUAGAUAAUUAAAAUGACAGUAAGUUUACUCACAAUGUCUAGAAUGCAGACUUUCGAAGCACUCUGUCUACUGGUCCUCGGAUGCAAUUUCCUUGCCUUUAUCGGAGGACUCACCACCUUGACACAGUACAAAAUCGAGAGUUUCACCAAGUUGGUACUAAAUCAAAAUUAAACUAAUUUAGACUACCAAUGCAUGAUAUGGAAUGCAAAAAUGCACUGGUAACUAUCUAAACCCGGUAUUGGCCUAAUUCGUCUUAUCACCCGAUUAAAUUCCUAACGGGUCCGUUUAAACUCCAAUUUAAUUCUUUUCAGUUUCUAUACCUCAAUUGCACCCAAAUUAACUUAAUGUCCCUCAGUGUGGUGCAAAUUAUCAGUCCCAACAGCAAAUUACGAAAAUACCCCUAGUGGGUAAAAAUUCGUAUUUUUGCUCCGAAAAUUCCCAUUAUUUUUCUAGGCUCAUAAUUCAUCAUUCCUUAACCAAUUCUCCUAGAAUAAAAUCAAACUCAUCCUCACUCACUACAUGGUAAAUUCAGCCAUUAAUGGUUGGGGGAGAAAAUAAAUUCUUUUCUUGUUGUUUUGUUUCUAAAUAUGCUAAACUAACUAAAAACACUAACAUAAAUUAAAAUCAAAUAAAUCCAACAACUUUCUCUCUCCUAACCCAUUUUUUCAGAAUUGAAUUCAUCAUGAAAACAUGUAAUUUAAUCAUGGAAAAUAAAGAGAAAUGCUUGGGAAUAAGAAAACUCAAGCUUAAUAGAAAAAAUCUCACCUUUUUCACUUAAUUUCCUUGAAAAUUCACACUUUUUCUUUGAUUUUCUCUCUCUAGGGUUUUGUUUUUGUUUUCUCUCUCUUCUUGCUGGUUUGGCCGGCCAUGGGGUGGAAGAUGGGCUGAUUUUGUGCCUUUUAAAAAGGAAAAUAAUAAAUUAAUAAAGGCAUGACACAUGGCAUCAUGUCAUUGGCCCGUUUUUAAAAUUUUAAAAAUUUAAACAUUUUAUCUCCACCACAUGUUUAGUCAAGGGUCAAAGAUGAAGACAAAGGAAGACCAUGUGCUGGAAAAAAUAUCCUGGUGGUGGAAAAUUACAAUUUUGCCCCUGAGGUGGCAAAAUUACCAUUUUACCCCUAUACUCCAAAUUAUACCGAAAUUAAAAUUUUUCACUUCUAAACCUCAAAUCAUACUUCAAUAAGUCAAAUUAUACUCUAAUAAGUCAAAUGGGGUCAAAAAAAUCUUUUCUAAAAUUCCCAUUUUGUCCCCAGGUGGCAAAUGACCAUUUUGCCCCUAGUUAGUGAAAAUUCCGAUUUGACUCCAAAUUGAUCCUCAAACUCCAAAUUACCAUUUUAAGUCAUCCAUGAACUGUGAAACUCUUAAUCUCACCUUAAAAUUCCUAUUUGAUCUAGUUCGAGGAUUAAAUAAACUUUGUUGUACCUCUAGGUACAAUACCGACUUUUGUAAAUUUUUCGGGACUCUCCUAGCAUGCAAUCAUGCUAUCAUCACAUGUAUGUCAUGAAUAGUAUUUUAUAAGGUCGGGCUUUACAGAACUACCCCCCUUAAAAUAAAAUUUUGACCUCAAAAUUUCACUUACCUGAUUCGAAUAAAAGAUGUGGAUAUUGGUUUCUCAUCUGGCUCUCGACUUCCCACGUCAUCUCCUCCAUUCGAGCAUUCUUCCACAAUACUUUCACCAUUGGAAUGCUCUUGUUCCUUAGCACUCGAUCCUUUCGAUCUAGAAUACGUACAGGCUGCACCUCGAACUUCAAAUCCUCAUGCAACUCAAUGGGAGGUGUCUCUAAAAUGUGAGAGGGAUCGGGAACAUACUUUUUCAACAUCGAGACAUGGAAGACAUUAUGAAUUCGAUCUAACUCUGGGGGUAAUUCAAGUCUGUAAGCCACUGGCCCAAUCCUUUCAAUGAUACGAAAAGGUCCAAUGUAUCUUGGAUUGAGCUUUCCCCUCUUCGCGAAUCGAAUCACACCUUUCAUCAUCCAAUAAAUACCACAAAUUAUCACAAUAGUAUAAUCAAAUAAGAUUUAAUACUUGGAAAUUUCAAAUUAUUACCUUUCCAAGGAGAAACCUUAAGAAAAACUUUAUCGUCGACUUCAAACUCCAAAUCUUUCCUUCGUUUAUCCGAAUAAUUCUUCUGCCUAUCUUGAGCUGUCUUUAAUCGCUCUCGGAUAACUUUGACCUUAUCGUUUGUCAAAUCAAUCAAUUCCACAUUCACCAAUUUCCUCUCACCUACUUCAUCCCAACAGAGCGGAGUUCGGCAUUUCCUUCCAUACAAAGCCUCGUAUGGUGCCAUCCCAAUACUAGACUGAAAACUGUUAUUAUAAGCAAACUCCACCAAUGGCAAGUGUCUGUCCCAACUCCCGAUAAAGUCAAUGACACAAGCCCGUAACAUAUCCUCCAAGGUCUGAAUAGUUCUCUCAGAUUGACCAUCUGUCUGUGGAUGAAAGGCAGUACUAAAUCUCAAUUUAGUUCCAAGAGCUUCCUGAAAUUUCGGCCAAAAUCGAGAAGUAAAUCGAGGGUCUCGAUCUGACACAAUAGAAACUGGGACUCCGUGUAAUCUCACAAUCUCAUCUAUAUAAAGUCUUGCCAGCCUCUCAAUAGAAUACGUGCCAUGGAUAGCCAAGAAAUGGGCGGACUUAGUCAAUCUAUCCACAAUCACCCAAAUAGCAUCCUUCCCACUUUGGGUCCGCGGUAAACCUAAUACAAAGUCCAUAGUCACGUGUUCCCACUUCCAUUCAGGAAUCGGUAAAGGCUGAAGAGUACCUGAUGGUUUUUGAUGCUCUGCCUUGAUCUGUUGGCAUGUGAGACAUUUCGCUACAAACUCUGCUAUGUCUUGUUUCAUACCCGGCCACCAAUAACUUUUUUUAAUAGUCCGAUACAUCUUGGUGCUUCUGGGAUGUAAAGCGUAGGCAGAAGAAUGAGCUUCCUCCAAAAUAGCUCGUCUCAACUGAUCAUCCUUAGGGACACAAAUUCGGUCUCUAAGCAUCAAAGUACCAUCAUCACUGAGUCUAAACUCACUAGCUUCUCCAUCUUGCAGCUUUUGAACUUCCUGCUUCAACCAAUCAUCAGAUUUCUGCAAUUUUCUAAUCUAAUUCAACAAUGAAGGUCUCACGACGAAACUAGCAAGUAGGGUUCAAUCCUUACCAUUAUUCAACUAGAUCCCUAGAGAUUUCAUCUCAAGUAACAUCGGAAAAUAAGAACUCUGAAAUGUUGCUAACGAUGAUGAGGAUUUACGACUUAAGGCAUCAGCUACAACAUUUGCUUUUCCCGAAUGAUAAUCAAUCACUAAGUCAUAAUCUUUAAUCAACUCCAACCAUCAUCUCUGUCUCAAGUUAAGCUCUUUCUGGGUGAGCAAAUACUUCAAACUCUUAUGAUCAGUAAAAAUUCGGCAACGCUCACCAUAUAAAUAAUGUCUCCAAAUCUUCAAUGCAAAGACAACUGCUGCUAACUCCAAGUCGUGAGUAGGGUAAUUCGUCUCGUGCUUCUUCAACUGCCGGGAAGCAUAAGCUAUUACCUUCUCGUCCUGCAUCAACACACACCCUAAUCCCAACUUAGAUGCAUCGCUAUAUACCACAAAUUCUUUUCCACUAACAGGAAGUGUUAAAAUAUGAGCGGAGGUUAACCGGUUCUUUAGCUCCUGAAAUCGAUUCUCACAAACAUCAUCCCACUCAUACUUAACUCCUUUACGAGUUAAACGAGUCAGAGGAGCUGCUAUCAAAGAAAAUCCCUGAACAAAUCUCCGGUAAUAACCGGCUAAGCCAAGGAAACUACGAAUCUCAGUUACCGUUCUCGGUUGCUCCCAUUGCAAGAUUGCCUCAAUCUUCUUGGGAUCGACAUAAAUUCCAGCUCCGGACACCACAUGUCCCAAGAAAACCACUUCCUUCAACCAGAAUUCACAUUUAGAGAACUUGGCAUAGAGUUGUCUCUCGCGCAAAGUUUGCAACACAAUGCGCAAAUGGGCAGCAUGUUCAUCAUCAUUCUUCGAAUAAACCAGGAUGUCAUCGAUGAAUACUAUCACAAACUUAUCCAAGUAUGGAUGGAACACCCUGUUCAUAAGAUCCAUAAAAACUGCCGGGGCAUUAGUCAAACCAAACGGCAUCACCAGAAACUCAUAAUGCCCAUAACGCGUCCUGAAGGCAGUCUUAGGUACAUCCUGCUCCUUAAUCCUCAACUGAUAGUACCCAGAUCUCAAAUCAAUCUUAGAGAAUACCAUAGCACCUCGUAAUUGAUCAAAAAGAUCAUCUAUCCGGGGUAAAGGGUAUUUAUUCUUGAUGGUCACUCGGUUCAGCUGACGGUAAUCAAUACACAAUCGAAGAGUGCCAUCCUUCUUCUUUACAAAUAGGACUGGUGCUCCCCAAGGAGAAAUGCUAGGGCGAAUGAAACCUUUAUCCACCAAAUCUUGCAACUGGACUUUCAGUUCCUUCAACUCUGCUGGAGCCAUUCUAUAUGGAGGAAUAGAAAUAGGUGCGGUACCCGGAAGUAAAUCAAUAGGGAACUCAAGCUCUCGAUCAGGAGGUAGUCCCGGUAAAUCAUCAGGAAAUACAUCAGGAAACUCACUUACUAUUGGGACAUCCUCUAACUUAGGUUCCCCCUUUGAAGUAUCGAUCACGUAUGCCAAAUAAGCCGGAUACCCUUUUUGCACUAAUUUUGAAGCUUUGAUGGCUGAGAUUACACAAGAUGGUAAUACUCGACGUUCCCCUACAAACACAAUCUCUGCUCCCUCCGAAUUCCGAAGAACAACUUCUUUUCGGAAACAAUCCACGUUCGCCCGAUGUGCAGUUAACCAGUCCAUACCCAAUAUUAAAUCAAAAUCCAAGAUCUCUAAAGGAAUUAAGUCACCCCUAAAUUCUUUCUCACCUACCCUUACCCCACAGUCUCUAUAACAAGUAUUUCUAAUCAACUGUUCUCCUAGAGGGGUAUGCACUACAAUUUCUCCCUCUAAUGGUGACAGGUUUCUAUCAGCAAUUGAUGCAAAUGUCGUACUCACAUAAGAUCUAUCUGAGCCAGAAUCUAUCAAAACAUAAGCAUCUUUAUCAAAUAAAGACAUAGUACCUAUCACUGCUUCAGGUCGGACCCGUGCCUCAUCUUUUGUUACAGCAAAAACUCUUGUCCCGGUACGAGUCUGCAGUCUCAAAGGUGGAUGUGUCGGGGUAUUACUCUCCACACCGGACUGUAUGGCUACUCCUUGUCUCGGUGGUAACCUAAAAGAAUAUUUCCUCUGCAUAUCAGUGCGAGCUGGUGGAGAUGAUGCAACUACCGUGGCUCGUCCUAACCGUGGGUAAUUACUCCUAAUAUGACCCGUCUGUCCACAUUGGAAACAUCUUGUUGGCCCUCUACAUAGCCCACUAUGAUAAUUUCCACAAUUUCUACAUCUGUCAGAACCUUUGGAACUCUUCCCAGAACCAGCCAUAGCAGAUCUGCUAAACCUCGAAGGUCUCUGCUGUGAUGGUGAAAAUGGAGGUCGAGGAGAUGUCACGGAAAUAGAAGUAGUGCUCCCUAAAGUCGCUGAGUCCUUGCCCCUUUUUACUGGCUGACUAGAAGACAUACCAGGAUUUCUCCUUUUUGCAAACUCAGUCCGAAUCCUCCUAUUCUCAGUCGCGAGCUUCGCAGCCUGUAAAGCCAUUUGUACCACCUCCUUAUGUGGCUCCCUACCAGUCACUGUCAUUCGCUCUCUAAUCUCAUUACGGAGCCCUUCCUCGAAAUAGUUGGCCUGAUCCUACUUAGAUUUCACCAGAUCUGACACAUAUAACAUCAACUCGUUAAAACGAGUCUCGUACUCCUCUACAGUUAGAUUUCCCUGUUUUAAACUCAGAAAUUCUCUCUUCUUUUCUUUCUGAUGGAAAGAAGUGAAAUACUGACCAUCGAAUUCCCUGAGAAAAUCGGACCAUGUCUGAGGAGUAGUGGAACGGGACUUCACCGAAUUCCACCAAGUACAAGCCCUCUUCUCUAAUAAUCUCGUAGCCACCAUCAGCUUCAUGUCGUCGUCUAAUCCUAUAUCAGAGAGAAUCUCUGAAACUUGAUUAAUCUAGUCCUUUGCCACAGUGGCAUCCAACUCACCCGUGAAAGAUACACAACCCAAUUGCCUAGCCUCCUUCAGCUUCUUCGAAAUAAAUACAUCCUGUACUGGUGGUGGAACUAAAGGAGUAGCUGGAGGCACUAUAGGUGGAACUUGACCAGUCUGAGCUUGACCAGCCAUUGCGGCAAAAAAAGCUGCCAAUGCUUGUGCUGCCUCAGUAGACAUGGCGGGAAUACCCGUAGGUGGCUGAGGAGAUGGAGGAUGUGGAGGACUAUCGACCUGCUCAGUAGCAGGUGCUGCCCGAAUGGUAGAUGCAGCUGAUUCCUCCUUUACUGUAUCUGACAGAUGACGUUAGGAACAACCUCUUCCCCUCCCAACCGAUCUACUGAGAGGUGGGCGUCCGCGUCGAGGAGGCAUUGUAAUCUAUAAAAAAAAUACGAGCAAGUUUAGGUAACCUUAGGCUCUAUAUGCAGAUGCAUGCAUUAUAUUCAACUUAACCUAACUUAACUUAAUCCGGGGCCACACUGAUAUUGUAAAUUUUUAAAACAACUUUAAAACCAAAAACUAUGAUCUUUAAAACCAAAAGCUCUGAUACCAAUCGAAUUGUCACGACCCGGUACUCCCCUCGAGCCCGUGACAACCGUCGCAGUGUCCCGGUAGACACUUAUUGCUCGGAAUGUCAACCCGAAACCCCGCAAGGCUUUACUAUCAGUUUCUCUGUUCCCUUGUGAGCAACCAUUGUCAAAUAUCGUGUUCUAAAAGAUUUUAAGCUGUUUCCAACUUUAAACAAAUAAAAUAUUAAUUUUUCGUCUCACAAGGGUAUUUUGGUCAUUUUUCUCAAAAAUUUUAAAACUGGCUAAAACGUAAUAUACAAGUACAAAACACACAAUUCAUAUUCAAAAUGAGUUUAAAAGUCUAAAAUCUUCAUUUAAAACGAAAUUAUGGUUAUUUGAAUAUAAUAAGAAAAUAAAAGAAAUAUUAAGUAAAAUAUUCUAUUUUCUUAUAAAACAAUAUUUAUAGAGUUAUACGUGAAUAAUUUUUAUAACGUAAAAGCUAAAUAAAUUUAUACAUACUUAAAUACAGUAAGCCAAAAUAUUUAAUUUAAUUUACAAUAACAAGAGUGCCCCCGAAUAAACAAAAGUAAAGAGGACUGUGAACCUACGGUUUGGAAAAUGCAGAUCCCACUGUAGUCCUCGAUGAGAUCAGCUAUCUACAGUCUAUACUGAAC